rnacentral:rRNA from 1 species
AGCGAACGCUGGCGGCAGGCUUAACACAUGCAAGUCGAACGCCCCGCAAGGGGAGUGGCAGACGGGUGAGUAACACGUGGGAACGUACCCUUUGGCUCGGAAUAACUUGGGGAAACUCAAGCUAAUACCGGAUAAGCCCUUAUGGGGAAAGGUUUACUGCCGAAGGAUCGGCCCGCGUCUGAUUAGCUAGUUGGUGAGGUAAUGGCUCACCAAGGCGACGAUCAGUAGCUGGUCUGAGAGGAUGAUCAGCCACACUGGGACUGAGACACGGCCCAGACUCCUACGGGAGGCAGCAGUGGGGAAUAUUGGACAAUGGGGGCAACCCUGAUCCAGCCAUGCCGCGUGAGUGAUGAAGGCCUUAGGGUUGUAAAGCUCUUUUACCCGGGACGAUAAUGACUGUACCGGGGAAAUAAGCCCCGGCUAACUUCGUGCCAGCAGCCGCCGUAA